GGGCAAUUGGUCUAGGGGUAUGAUUUUCGCUUCGCAUUGUUGCUUCGACGCGCCUUGUGAAAGGUCACCGGUUCGAAUCCGGUAUUGUCCA
rnacentral:tRNA from 1 species